UAAAGGCAGCUGUCCCAUCUGGGACUUGUGAGUACUUCUUCUGCCUCUUGCCAGUCUGUGUGCUAUUGCUUUUAAAGAGCGUCCUGGGGAAGGGACUGUUUUGGGGGUGAUGCAUGAGCAAGCUGAAGCUUCUGUGGGUGUUUAGUGCUGCCCUGAGCAUGGAGGCACCUGCCAUGUCAUGGACUAGUGCACGUUCCUGGCCAAUGGCUGUGGGUUGGACCUGUGCAAAUCAAGAGGCUUUCAUGCCAGCUUCCUUGAGAGCUAUGCAGUACUGUGAAUAAUGCAAAAGAAGAGGGAAGCCUACAAAGGUAGUGCCUUUGCAGAGCUGAAAGGCUUGUGGACUCACCUGACGUCCACAUCAUGCAAUGAGAUUAAAGGAGAUGGGGUACAAAGAUAAAAUACAAGAAUGACUUAUA